CAAUAAACUAUGAUUUGAAAUUUGAAAAUGCGUUGUACUCCGACUUUUCCCAAUUACAUGGAAAGACUGAACGACUGCUCGUUUAAGUAAACGAGCAGAUAUUGUCAUUGUGCUAAGCUAGCAGGAGCAGCCAUUAUGGAAUGGGGUCGCGUUGAACAACAAAGGCGCUGAUUGGCUGACACCGCCGUUCCAAGAUGGCUGCUGUGGCUUCUAUCAUGAGGACAAAAAAAAAAGGACAGUGGUCCGGAAAACGAGCUAUCAGCCGUUCAAUCUUCUCCGUGUAACGUUAACAGUUGGGCUAGUUGGACAAUUCGGAGUAUAAUGUAUUUCUCAUCCCUGGAUAGAGGUACAUUUUCUCCGAGCCUUAUCUACCGCCGGCUCCGCGGUGUCUUUAUAUAAUAUACACGGGAAUGAUGUCCGACCGUAGUGCUGCUGUAAGCAAAGCGGUUCGGAUCUGCAGGCUACUGUUUGGCUAGCUAUAUUUUACUUCGACAGUGGGUCCUAUCUAAAAGAUGGUGUACGGUGCAGCGGUACUCUCUCCAUGAUUAUGGACCAGAUUGGGGACUUCCUGACCUAUAACGCAACCCCUGCUGGGUUACAGUGAUAUAAUGUUCCCCUGAACGUAUGACUGUUGAUCACUGGAUGUCCUGGGGGCCUCAUAUCUCCUUCAGCUGGAUGUCCUGGGGGCCUCAUCUCCUUCAGCUGGAUGUCCUGGGGGCCUCAUCUCCUUCAGC